rnacentral:rRNA from 1 species
GAUGAACGCUGGCGGCGUGCCUAAUACAUGCAAGUCGAGCGAACGGACGAGAAGCUUGCUUCUCUGAUGUUAGCGGCGGACGGGUGAGUAACACGUGGAUAACCUCCCUAUAAGACUGGGAUAACUUCGGGAAACCGGAGAUAAUACCGGAUAAUAUUUUGAACCGCAUGGUUCAAAAGUGAAAGACGGUCUUGCUGUCACUUAUAGAUGGAUCCGCGCUGCAUUAGCUAGUUGGUAAGGUAACGGCUUACCAAGGCAACGAUGCAUAGCCGACCUGAGAGGGUGAUCGGCCACACUGGAACUGAGACACGGUCCAGACUCCUACGGGAGGCAGCAGUAGGGAAUCUUCCGCAAUGGGCGAAAGCCUGACGGAGCAACGCCGCGUGAGUGAUGAAGGUCUUCGGAUCGUAAAACUCUGUUAUUAGGGAAGAACAUAUGUGUAAGUAACUGUGCACAUCUUGACGGUACCUAAUCAAAAAGCCACGGCUAACUACGUG